rnacentral:rRNA from 1 species
UACGUAGGGUGCGAGCGUUAAUCGGAAUUACUGGGCGUAAAGCGUGCGCAGGCUGUUCUGUAAGUCAGAUGUGAAAUCCCCGAGCUCAACUUGGGAACUGCGUUUGAAACUUAACAGGACUAGAAUAUGUCGAGAGGGGGUAGGAAUUCCACGUGUAGCAGUGAAAUGCGUAGAGAUGUGGAGGAAUACCAAUGGCGAAGGCAGCCCCCUGGGAUAAUAUUGACGCUCAUGCACGAAAGCGUGGGGAGCAAACAGG